GAUGAACGCUGGCGGCGUGCCUAAUACAUGCAAGUCGAGCGAACGGACGAGAAGCUUGCUCCUCUGAUGUUAGCGGCGGACGGGUGAGUCACACGUGGAUAACCUACCUAUCAGACUGGGAUAACUUCGGGAAACCGGAGCUACUACCGGAUAAUUUUUUGAACCGCAUGGUUCAAAAGUGAAAGACGGUCUUGCUGUCACUUAUAGACGGAUACGCGCUGCAUUAGCUAGUUGGUAAGGUAACUGAUUAGCAAGGCAACGAUGGAUAGCCGACCUGAGAGGGUGGUCGGCUACACUGGAACUGAGACACGUUCCAGACUCCGACGGUAGGCAGCAGUAGGGAAUCUUCCGCGAUGGGCGAAAGCCUGACGGAGCAACGCCGCGGGAGUGAUGAUGGUCUUCGGAUCGUAAAGCGCUGUUAUUAGGAAAGAACAUAUGUGUAAGUAACCGUGCACAUCUUGACGGUACCGAAUCAGAAAGCCACGGCUAACUACGUG
rnacentral:rRNA from 1 species